rnacentral:rRNA from 1 species
CCUACGGUGGGCAGCAGUGAGGAAUAUUGGUCAAUGGGCGCUAGCCUGAACCAGCCAAGUAGCGUGAAGGAUGACUGCCCUCUGGGUUGUAAACUUCUUUUAUAUGGGAAUAAAGUCGGGUAUGCAUACUCCUUUGCAUGUACCUUAUGAAUAAGGAUCGGCUAACUCCGUGCCAGCAGCCGCGGUAAUACGGAGGAUCCGAGCGUUAUCCGGGUUUAUUGGGUUUAAAGGGAGCGUAGGCGGGUUGUUAAGUCAGUUGGGAAAGUUUGCGGCUCAAACGUAAAAUGGCAGUUGAUACUGGCAGCCUGGAGUAGAGUAGAGGUAGGCGGAAUGCGGGGUGUAGCGGUGAAAUGCUUAGAUAUCACGAAGAACUCCGAUUGCGAAGGCAGCCUGCUGGACUGUAACUGACGCUGAUGCUCGAAAGUGUGGGUAUCAAACAGGAUUAGAUACCCCUGUAGUC